CUCGGCGGCAGGAGGGCGGGACGGAGGCAGGGGCUGCGCUGCUCGCUCCCCGCCCAUGCCCGGGGGCCGGGGGGAUGAGCUCUGGCCGGGAGCAGCGGGCCCGGGGCGGGCGCUCGGCGCUUUGGCUCCUCGCCGGGGCUCCAAGGGGGCUCCAAGGACGCAGCAGCUCGCUGGGCAGAGGCUCUCGGGGCUCUGUGUUUGCUGCCAUAGACACUAUCUUCCCUUCGGUCCGUUGGAGGGUGCUCUUUGCCUUAAGCUCAACCUUAGGCAGCAGAACUCCGAUGCUAGAGAGCGCUAAAUAUUUACAACUUCAAAGGAUGUCCGUAUGAGGAGAAGAUGCUUAGUACCACCAGAAAAAAAUGUGACUGAAGCUGAAGAGAAACAGCUGGGGCAAAAGAGAUUCCAGUCUAAAGGAAGGAUCAUCACCGUGAACGCGGAAGACUUGAGUUGUGUUCUGAAUUUUCAUUUGCAUUUCCCUUGAGUAAUAUUUACCCUCUAACUGCAUCCACAUCUUCAUAGCUGAGUGAAGACUGAUUUUCCUGCAUCUUCCCCCAUCUAGGAUCUAAUACAACUUGAAACUAUGCAGAUGAAUGUAGCUCACGUUCCCGGACCUCCACAGAAAAGCCUGAAAAGCCACGAGAAACAAGAUGAUGUGCGAUGUGCCUGCUAACCUCAGGUCCCUGGGAAACAGGCAAGGGUCUGCUGAAGUCCCCGUGGAGCUGCUCCAGGGCCUGAACUUGAAAACUGCUUGAAAGAGUCCAGCGCAGAGCCACAAAGACGAUUAAGGGAGUGGAACAUCUCCCUUAUGAGGAAAGGCUGAGAGAGCUGGGUCUCUUUAGCUUGGAGAAAAGGAGACUGAGGGGUGACCUCAUCAAUGUUUACAAAUACGUAAAGGGUGAGUGUCAAGAA